rnacentral:lncRNA from 1 species
AGGUUGGCGCGAUUAGUUAGAGAUUUCCGUCCGUACUCACGCGCUUCGCGGAUUAAUUAUAGAUUAAUAUGCUAUGAAAUGCGAGCUUUCUGCUUAUACUAAAAGCUCAAACUUGGUGCGAAAAAUUUGCUACCUGGUGGCCACCAGGUAUCAAAUUGACAAUCUCGGAUUAACACUUUUCACGACGCCUCAUAAAAAGCCUGAGUGAUAGGUUGGAAGGUUAUCCUUUAUAAAGGCUGUAGGUGUUCCUAGUUUUGUGGAAGCUUUGUGCUUCUUGUUCGGCAUUAUGCACCACACCGUGGGUGUCGUUCAAAGGUGCUACAAGGUCUUCAUGUUGAUACUCAAUAGUCUUUUAAAUGUCUGGCCAUACUCGUUUUUGCAUUUUAUGCACGGAAUGAACAAGUGUCGUACUUCAAUCCGUUUCUUAAUCCAGACGUAUGAAACACUCCGACGGAUUAGCGGUGGAUUGGCGCGGCUUAAAAAUACCUUAAUCCGCGACUUUUAAUCCAAGUGGAAACACCCCCUAAGAUUUCCGCCCGCGUUCGUGUGCUUCGCGGAUUAAUUAUACAUUAAUAUGCUAUGAAAUGCGAGCAUUCUUCCUAUACUAAUAGCUCAAACUUGGUGGGACAAAUUUGCUACCUGGUGGCCACCAGGUAUCAAAUUGACAAUCGCGGAUUAACACUUUUCACGACGCCUCAUAAAAAGCCCGAUUGAUAGGUUGGAAGGUUAUUCUUU